rnacentral:lncRNA from 1 species
ACCAAACUAGGUCAAAAAUAAAUCCAAAAUAAAUUGAAAAUGUGAAAUAAAAUUCCAAGAAAAGGUCAGUUUGACCAUGAGACAGUGGUCAACCUUCAUCCCAAAAAUCAAAUGCUUACAAUAAUUUUAAGUCAUAAAAAUGAAAUGAAUAAAAAAAGUGUGUUAAAAUGGACCAUUUAGAAUAAAUAAUUAAAAUAAAAUAUUAAUAUUAAAAAAAUACGAAAAUAAAAAUUAUAUAAAAU